AAAUUGAAGAGUUUGAUCAUGGCUCAGAUUGAACGCUGGCGGCAGGCCUAACACAUGCAAGUCGAACGGUAACAGGAAGAAGCUUGCUUCUUUGCUGACGAGUGGCGGACGGGUGAGUAAUGUCUGGGAAACUGCCUGAUGGAGGGGGAUAACUACUGGAAACGGUAGCUAAUACCGCAUAACGUCGCAAGACCAAAGAGGGGGACCUUCGGGCCUCUUGCCAUCGGAUGUGCCCAGAUGGGAUUAGCUAGUAGGUGGGGUAACGGCUCACCUAGGCGACGAUCCCUAGCUGGUCUGAGAGGAUGACCAGCCACACUGGAACUGAGACACGGUCCAGACUCCUACGGGAGGCAGCAGUGGGGAAUAUUGCACAAUGGGCGCAAGCCUGAUGCAGCCAUGCCGCGUGUAUGAAGAAGGCCUUCGGGUUGUAAAGUACUUUCAGCGGGGAGGAAGGGAGUAAAGUUAAUACCUUUGCUCAU
rnacentral:rRNA from 1 species